rnacentral:lncRNA from 1 species
GAUUUUUGUUUGUGAUUGUAUGCUUGGUGUUUGAGUAAAAUAAAUUGAAAAUUAGUGUAAAUUAAGAGUUUUCAAAAUCUUGUUUUGUUUUUGUUGUCUGUGAAAAAUUAUGGUGAAGUUGUAAUGAAAAUAAUGUUCCUUCUUUGAUGAAACUGACAUUUGUUAAGUUGUUAAAGGCUAAUGGUUUGCUAUCUGCAUACAUUGUAGUCAAGUCAAUGGUUUAUUGUGAUAUUGUUAGAGAUAACUCUUCAACUCUUUAAUCAACAAGAACAACUAUUUCCUCCAAAUUACAAGGUAAUUCACAUUCAAUAGAGCUCCAAAAGUUGUU